rnacentral:lncRNA from 1 species
AUGCUCCCCACCAUCAGGAGCGGCGGCACUGGUCAGUGGACUUGGCAGGGAAAUCAACUGAAUGGAAAUACUGAAGACCACAGGAGGAGUUUUCUCUUUCAGAGGCAAGAUCUCUCCAGGGAAGCCGUGGAGCAUCAUGGGCCACUGGAGGGACAUCUCAGGAUGGAAAUCGGGAACACUUGUUCAACUGUUCUGACCUCUUCAGCUUGCAUCUCCAAAUGCUGCAUCCACAACGACCUCAAGAACACCACCCAGAAUGCAAUUCCGUCCUCUCCCUUGGACUUGGUGUCUCCCUGUCACACCCUACAGUAAGUUUAAGUGCAAACAGUUGAAGAUAAACUAGGCUUCUUUGGGAAAUGGCUUGCUUCUACUUUCACUGAAACAAUUUUUGCUUUUUUUUUUUUUAUCUAGAAAGAAAGAGAAAAAAGCAGGAUCUUCCAUCUCCUGAUUCACUCUCCAAAUGCUUGCAACAGCAAGGACUGGAGCAGAUCGAAGCCAGUAGCUGCAAGCUUAAUACAUGUCUCCCACAUAGGAGACAGGGGCCCGAACACUUUCACCUGCUUUCUCACAGGGUUAGCAAUAGCAGGGAGUUGGACCAGAAGCAGAGCCAGGACUCAAAUUCAAUUACUCCAAUAUGGGACACAGACAUCCCAAGAGGCACCUGCACUGUUGCACCAAACGCUUGUAUCUUUAUUUAAUGUCAGAUCCAUCAGAGAGAUAAAGAAAUCAGAUUUUCCUAUAAUUCACUUUCUGAGAUGGGGAAGAUUUUCACAAAUUUAAGUCAAAGAUUUUGCUCAAAAUUUUCUACUGAAUGAUAUAAAUUCCCAGAGGGAGGCUGCCCUUCUAUAGUCUCAGCCAUAGCCUAGCCCCCGAUGCUUCUCCCCUACAAAGAUGACAUGCUGUCCCACUUCUUGGUGGGGCUAUGUGACAGUUGCUGCUGGUUUCCUCACUCAGUGUCUAUCCCAACCCCUUUCUUCCAACCCCCAUCGCUGUGGCGGCAGCAGCUCCAUGGUGAGUGCCCACUCAUAGCCUAGUGCAGUUGGGGUGCUGGUUCCGGGAAAGCCGCUUUCUUCCUGAUGAAUUGGAGGGAUGAGACUGCCACAACCUUUCUUCCUUUUUUCCUGCCCAAUGUACAUAUGAGGAAUCUUCACAAGGUCAUGGAUGACGAGUAUUAUACAAAAGCUAUGUGUGGAUUUCAAAAAUAUUUUGUGCCAAAAUCAAUGUAUCUUUUAACUCCAUUUCCCACAAACUUUUUACAAAAAAAGAUUAUUUAUUUAUUUGAAGGUAGAGUUACAGAUAGAGGGGGAGACAGAGAGAAUCUUCCAUCUGCUGGUUCACUCUCCAAGUGGCCUCAAUGGCUAAGGCUGGGCUAGGCUACAGCCAAGAAUCUGGAACUCUAUUCAGGUUGGGUGCAGAUGCCAAAUUCUUGAGCCAUCUUCCACUGCUUUCCCAGGUGAACUAGCAGGGAGCUGGAUCAGAAGUGAAGCAGCCAGGACCUGCACCGGUGCCUGUAUGGAAUGCCAGCACUGGAGGUAGAGGCUUAACCUUCUGCGCCACAAUGCCAGUCCCACCACAAACUUUUUGAAGUGCCUUUGUUUGGAGCUCAGAGACACAGCUACUGAACAGCCAAAAAACAAGUGGUAAGGAUAUCCAGGUGGAAAUACAGGAUAGUGAGUUGCGUUGGUUGAGCCACUGUAGCUAAAACGUUAGCUCCAGGCAUCUUGUAUGGAUAUCUUUGUUUGCCCAUGUUUACACACACACACACACACACUUCAAAAAUAUCAAGUAUUCUGACACUUGCAGGUUAAUAUGUCACUAAGUAAAUGAAUAACAACAGCCAAACCCAAAUUAAUAUCCUUCUCCCGCUGCCAAAAAAAAAAGUAAAAAAAAAAAAAAAAAAACCCUCCAGGCAAACCUAACUACCCUAUUUGAAUACCAGGCCCUGUCUAAGUGGACUUACUUUCAUGGUCAGCUGUGCUCAGGGUGUUUACACAUUUUACUUUUGCCAUUUCUCAGGUAGGGCAUCUAAAGGCUGGGGACACAGGACACGUUUGCCAAGGUCACAGAGUAACCCUGAACGCUGGGGAACAGCGCCAAGAGCUCUAGAAUCCCACACGAGGCCUCCUCUGCUCUGUCUCCCCCCACCCCCCGCCUCAGUUGGGAAAAUGUCAAAGGAUUUAUCAAAAAUAGCCUGAAGCUAGAUUAGGUAUUUUAAUACCCAAAGCACUUAAUUACUAAUACAGUUUAAGGUACAUUAACCUAAUUGGAAACUUUCUGCAUAUGGCAUAGGUUUUUUUUUUUCCCCUCCUGAAAAAAAAUGAAUAAUAUUCUUUUUAAACUUUUCUACUGCUCUGUCUCAUCUUUUCAUGCUGUUAUUGCUUUCCAGAGUUAGUGCCACAGCCAAGAGCUGAGUUAAUGUUAUUUUCUCAUAUGAAAAAGACAAAUAAAAUAAAAAUGCUGAAAUAACGAGAGGAAAAG